CCCUUAGAUGUUCUGGGCCGCACGCGCGCUACACUGAUGCAUUCAACGAGCCUAUCCUUGACCGACAGGUCCGGGUAAUCUUUGAAUCUGCAUCGUGACGGGGAUAGAUUAUUGCAAUUAUUAAUCUUCAACGAGGAAUGUCUAGUAGGCGCAAGUCAUCAGCUUGCGUCGAUUACGUCCCUGCCCUUUGUACACACCGCCCGUCGCUCCUACCGAUUGGGUGUGCUGGUGAAAUGUUCGGAUCGGCCGUUUGUCGCGGUUUCCGCGUCAUGUGGCUGAGAAGUUCAUUAAACCCUCCCACCGAGAGGAAGGAGAAGUCGUAACA
rnacentral:rRNA from 1 species